CCUCUCGUAUGAAGGUUCAGCAGCAAAUACCCUAACCCUAAAUGAUAGAAGCGGCCGCCACCCUUAUCCCUCCCCUCCUCCAGCCGCCAUCACCACCCGACUUCCUUCUUGCCUUCCCGAUCAGUCGAAGCUCUAAGACUCCGAAUGACCUCCGGUGACUCACGUUGAUGACAAGCUGAAGACUGCCAGAUUGCGGGGACGUCGCAACAAGUGAAGGGCGGUGGACUAGUCAUCGUCGUGCGCUCGUCAUCGCUGACGGAAUGACCAUUCGAGUGACGCCGGUUGCUGCCAGCGAAAUCAAGGAUUGUUAGGCCGACGUUCGUCUGAUGGGAGGCGGGAAAUCGAGUCAGUUGCCACCCGCGGUUGUUUCCGGUGGCGAACGAAACCCCCCCCCCCCCAGCUCCAUCCGUCGCCACUGGCCCAGUCCUGUUUGCUCCGGUCUUCGUCGCCACCCCGAAGGGGCUGUGGUGUUCGCUGUCUCGCUGUUGCUGCUUUUUCCUUCUUCCUCCGCCACUAGCCACCGUGAGAGGUGGCUGUGGGUGUAGUUUUGGUUCGGGAAUCUGUCAGCCAGCAGCUGGGGUGGAGUCUGCGGGACUUCAGCAGUGUGGGAUUGUGUCUACGGGACUUCAGCAGUGUGAGGUACUCAGUUUUCAAAAGAUGAGCUCGGGAAGAUUGCAGUGCACACACCAUUUGUUCAGCUUGGGAUGUUUAUACUCUGAUAUAUUUGACAGCUGUUAAGAUAUUUUGAGAUACAUUCUUUAUGAUUCUUAUAUGACGUUUGAUGGA